GAUGAACGCUGGCGGCGUGCCUAAUACAUGCAAGUCGAGCGAACGGACGAGAAGCUUGCUUCUCUGAUGUUAGCGGCGGACGGGUGAGUAACACGUGGAUAACCUACCUAUAAGACUGGGAUAACUUCGGGAAACCGGAGCUAAUACCGGAUGAUAUUUUGAACCGCAUGGUUCAAAAGUGAAAGACGGUCUUGCUGUCACUUAUAGGUGGAUCCGCGCUGCAUUAGCUAGUUGGUAAGGUAACGGCUUACCAAGGCAACGAUGCAUAGCCGACCUGGGAGGGUGAUCGGCCACACUGGAACUGAGACACGGUCCAGACUCCUACGGGAGGCAGCAGUAGGGAAUCUUCCGCAAUGGGCGAAAGCCUGACGGAGCAACGCCGCGUGAGUGAUGAAGGUCUUCGGAUCGUAAAACUCUGUUAUUAGGGAAGAACAUAUGUGUAAGUAACUGUGCACAUCUUGACGGUACCUAAUCAGAAAGCCACGGCUAACUACGUG
rnacentral:rRNA from 1 species